GGACAAGACAUUUUUUAUUGCUGCACUAUUGGCCAUGCAAUAUGAGAAAGGACUGGUAUGUACUGUUCUGACUUCUCUUUCUCAUGCUUCACCUUGCUGCUUCUUAAUUUUGAUUCACAUAUUCUUUAUUGCUAUAUUUUUCAGGGCUUGUUUUGAGUUAAAUUUCUCUAAUAACCCAUAAAUAUGGCAGUUUUAUUACCAUGAAAGCAAACAAAAAGCUGAAAGUAUAAAAGUUUGUUAUCUUACGCUUCAUGUAGAAACUAAGAAAUGAUAGAGCAAUAAGUGGGAACUCCCUGCUACUCCUUUUUAACCACCAACCAUUAGUAGUUCCCUUUUCCUUAGUUUCACAAAGUACGACUUUAAGAACAUUGCUUAUUAUAAGGUCUGUAAAUGGGGGUGUCUAAAAUUGAGACGACCCUUAAAUGUUCAUUUCGGUUUUUCUCUUUAUUCGGUUCGGUUUCCAAAAAUAUUAGGUUAAGUUUAUUAGGUUUUGUACUUUUUCAAACCGAACUGAACCGAUCAAUGUUCACCCCUAUUUCUUGUUAUAAAUUCAUCCCUUUUCCGUUCAGCACCUUUGGUCUGUGUCCUUACUACCAGAAAGCUUGUCAUGCAUGUGCAUUUGGAGUGUAUAGAGUGCAAUGGACUGAUCAAAGACAAUGAUAUAGAUCCUGUCUUGCACAUUUCCUUGAUCAGUCAUUUUUCUAAGAGUCUGUUUGGCAUUGCUAUUGGAGUUACUAUUUAAAAAAACAUCUUAAAUAAGUUAAUUAGAGGGUAUUAAUUGAUUUAAAGUUAAAUUUGAC
rnacentral:misc_RNA from 1 species